AGAGUUUGAUCAUGGCUCAGAUUGAACGCUGGCGGCAGGCCUAACACAUGCAAGUCGAGCGGUUGAGGGAAGCUUGCUUCCUGAUUCAGCGGCGGACGGGUGAGUAAUGCCUAGGAAUCUGCCUGGUAGUGGGGGACAACGUUUCGAAAGGAACGCUAAUACCGCAUACGUCCUACGGGAGAAAGCAGGGGACCUUCGGGCCUUGCGCUAUCAGAUGAGCCUAGGUCGGAUUAGCUAGUUGGUGAGGUAAUGGCUCACCAAGGCGACGAUCCGUAACUGGUCUGAGAGGAUGAUCAGUCACACUGGAACUGAGACACGGUCCAGACUCCUACGGGAGGCAGCAGUGGGGAAUAUUGGACAAUGGGCGAAAGCCUGAUCCAGCCAUGCCGCGUGUGUGAAGAAGGUCUUCGGAUUGUAAAGCACUUUAAGUUGGGAGGAAGGGCAGUCAGCGAAUACCUUGCUGUCUUGACGUUACCGACAGAAUAAGCACCGGCUAACUCUGUGCCAGCAG
rnacentral:rRNA from 1 species